rnacentral:pre_miRNA from 1 species
CAAAGUGCUUACAGUGCAGGUAGUACUAUGGGAUAUCUACUGCAGUGGAGGCACUUCUAGC